rnacentral:rRNA from 1 species
GACGAACGCUGGCGGCGUGCUUAACACAUGCAAGUGGAGCGACGAACCAGGGCUUGCCCUGGGGCAGAGCCGCGAACGGGUGAGUAACACGUGGGUAACCUGCCCAGAUGACCGGGACAACCCGAGGAAACUCGGGCUAAUACCGGAUGUGUUCGUCUCACAUCAGUGGGAUGAGGAAAGGAAGCUUCGGCCUCCGCAUCUGGAUGGGCCCGCGGCCCAUUAGCUAGUUGGUGAGGUAAUGGCUUACCAAGGCUUCGAUGGGUAGCUGUUCUGAGAGGAAGAUCAGCCACACUGGGACUGAGACACGGCCCAGACUCCUACGGGAGGCAGCAGUGGGGAAUCUUGCGCAAUGCGCGAAAGCGUGACGCAGCAACGCCGCGUGCGGGAAGACGGCCUUCGGGUUGUAAACCGCUUUCAGUUGGGACGAAGCUUCGCCGGUGAAUAGCCGGCCGGAGUGACGGUACCUUCAGAAGAAGCCCCGGCUAACUACGUGCCAGCCGCCGCGGUAAAAC